rnacentral:lncRNA from 1 species
GUGCCAUGUCCGUGCCCAGGAUUCGAACCAACGAAACAUUGGGCUGCCUGUAGCGGAGCGGGUGAACUUAACCACUCAGCCACGGGGCCAGCCCCAAGAAUGCAUUCUUGAUAUCAAAAUUGAAACAUAAUAGAUAAAGCUAAAAUUCAUCUACCACGGAUGCCCCAAUCCUAGUCCUCUCUCCAGAGAAUAACUAAUUUAUCAAAACUCUGUAUCAGGAUUAUGUUCAGUAACAUGUUUCAAAAAACAAACAAAAUAAUAACAACCAGAAAACUUCAAGUUUACUUAUUUUUCAGGAAAAUAAGCCCAAAGGUAGGCAGUCCAGGGCUAGUGUGGGUUUUAGGGUCCCAGGUUCCUAGCUGGACCUAGCUAGAAUGGAAGAGUGGUAAAGAAGAGCUCAUGUCUCUGCAUUCGUUUGCUAGGGCUGCUGUGAUCAAGUACCACAAAGUGCAUGGCUUACACAAAAGAAAUUUAUUUAUUAUCUUGAUUUUUCAGGCUACAAACCUGAAAUCAAGUUGUCAGCAGGGUUGGUUCCUUCUGAGGACUGUUCCUGCCUCUCCCCUUGCUUCUGGUAAUGUGCUGGCCAUCUCUGAUGUCCUUUAGCUUGUACAAACAUCACCCACCGCACUCUCUGCCUUGAUCUUCUCUGUGUGUGUGUGUUUGUGUCCAGACUUCCCCUUUUUAUUACAGACACCAUUCAUGCUGGAUUAAGGCCCACCCUAAUGACCUUAUCUUAACUAACUACCUUUGAAAGGACCCUAUUUCCAAAUGAGAUUAUAUUCUGAGAUACUGGGUUUGGGACAUCAACAUGUGAAUUUUGGAGGGACCCUGUAGAAGUCUCUGACACCUCUUUAUUUAUAUUCUUGUGGGUUUUUUUAAGAUUUUUUUAUUAUUUCUUUUUUCCCCCCAAAGCCCCCCGGUACAUAGUUGUGUAUUAUUAGUUGUGGGUCCUUCUAGUUGUGGCAUGUGGGACGCUGCCUCAGCGUGGUUUGAUGAGCAGUGCCAUGUCCGCGCCCAGGAUUCGAGCCAAGGAAACACUGGGCCGCCUGCAGCGGAGUGCGCAAACCUAACCCCUCGGCCACGGGGCCGGCCCUUUGUUUAUAUUUUUUGGCCAGAACUUAGUCUCGUGGCCACACUUAGCUGCAAGAGGUGCUCGGGAAGCUAGUUUUUAGCUGAGCACAUGGCCAUCCCCAGAAAAGUCUGUUUUCUGUUGCAGAAAAGGAGGGGAAAAUGGAUAUCAAGACAAUAACUGGCAGCCUGCCUUGGAACGUAACCUACCAGCCAUUUUUGUGUGUGUCAAAAACAUCUCUACACACCUUUCAGUGGGCACUCGGGUGUAGGAUUCUUCAUCCAGACGGCUUCACCUCUCACUGAGCACCCACUAGGAGCCAGGCCCUGCCUAGGGCUUCACGUCUUUACCCACAAUCCUCAAAGCACCCUGUGGACAGAGGUGGCUUAAAUUAUGCCCUCUUCCCUCACUUGCACAAGGCCUUUUCAAGGCCACACUCCUAAUUUUGGAUUUGAAACUUUGUAUUCUUUUUCUUUAAAAGGAUCCCUAAAGUUAUGCAAACGUCCGAUCCUGAAUCUGUCCCUACCUACAAGGUAGGUCUUAUUAUCCUCAUUUUAUAGUUGAGGAACUGGAUGCACAGAGAGGGCAAGUAGUUUGUCUGGAGUCACAGAGCCGAUAGGGAAGUUGAGUUUUAAACCAAGGUCUCUCUAAUACCAAAAUUCAGGCCAUUUCUCCUGUGCCUUGCCUGCCAAUGGAUGCUGAAAGCACCCCAGGAUGCUUUCUCCACUGCAGAGCCUCAGACACAGCCCCAUCUGCAUGUUUGGAUUCCCUGAGGGUUGGUUGCUGGCCGGGCUGGCUGAGGCUGCUGCUCAGGCAAAUCCUCUCCUGUAAGGAGAAAACUUCUCGUGUGGAAGAACCGGAGCGGGGCUCCGUGCUCGGGGAGCACACUUGUGUUAGUUUCCUGUGGCUGCUGUAACAAAAUACCACAAACUGACUGGCUUAGAACCUCCAAAAUGUAUUCCCUCAGUUCUCGAUGUCUGAAAGCAAAGUGUCUUCCAGGCCACACUCCCUCCCCAGGCUCCAGUGGAUGGUCCUUCCUUGCCUCUUCCAGCUUCUGGAGGCCCUGGACUCCCUUGGCUUGUGGCUGCCUCACUCAGCUUCAGUCUUCACACGGACCUCGCCUCUAUCUCUAUUUUCCCCUUUUGUCUUUUUUUUUUUUUUUUUUUGAGGAAGAUUAGCCCUGAGCUAACAUCUGCUGCCAAUCCUCCUCUUUUUGCUGAGGAAGACUGGCCCUGAGCUAACAUCUGUGCCCACCUUCCUCUACUUUAUAUGUGGGAUGUCUGCCACAGCAUGGCUUGCCAAGCGGUGCAUAGGUCCAUACCCAGGAUCUGAACCGGUGAACCCCGGGCCGCUGCAGCAGAACGUGCGAACUUAACUGCUGCACUACCGGGCCGGACCCUCCUUUUGUGUCUUAUAGGCCCAUUUUGUGUUGGAUUUAGGGCCCAAUCAGAUAAUCCAGGAUGAUCUCAUCUCAAGAUCUUUCACUUCAUUACAUCUACAAAGACCCUUUUUCCAAGGAAGGUCACAUUCCCAGGUUCUGGGAUACGGACAUAUCUUUUGGGGGCCACCAUUCAACCCACUACACUCUUCAUCCCAGAGCAGCAGAUAAUCAGAUAUCUUUCCCAGGACCAGGGGAACGGGUAGGAAAAUGUGGCGAUACACACUAUCCUUCUGGUCUAUUUUAAUUAGCAAUGGCAAAAGGGACCAUGGUGGAACCGUGAGGAAAGUGCCACUUACUCCAGGAAAGCAUAAGUGGACCCAGUUGCCCGGGGUCUGCUUAAAGUUAGAGAAACUCUGAAGGUUCUGCCAAAUGUGGGCAGGUGGGGCCAGGCUUUUUCAGUAGAAUGUUAAGUAAGCUAUGCUGGUGUGUUCAUCUGCGUUUACUAUUCACCUUAGAGAGGUUCCCUCUGAAAUGAAUUUUAAAUUCAGAAGCGAAGUCAGGAGGGGCACAGGAAGACAGAGGGGUGAGAGUAACAUUCCAAUUUAUCAAGCUGUGGCCUCACUUCUUGCUUAAAGAGCAAGGUGUUGGCUAGCGGUAGUGGUGAGAGUUCCUGGUGCCAGAGUUUGGAGGUGGGAGAAAGAAAUAGUUUCAGACUUGUACCUACUGUCAUGUCUUUAACGGAUUUGAAUUCAGUUUUCAGCAAGUAUUACUGUAGCGUACAGGAUGCACCAGCUGUAAGUAGCUGAAGGAUGAGUUUAAAAAGUGUUUUAAUUUGAUUCUUUUGACUCUCACUCGGUGCUCUCUCCGCCAUAGCUCAAGAGAUGAACAUUCCUUUCCUAUGAACAUUCCUUUCCUACUUGCUGGCUCUCAUCCUGGUGAGGGAGUAGAGAUGGGAGCAGGCCCAUCUCCUACCCACCAGAGCUUGUGCUCCCGCCCAUCUGAAAGGAGAGCCUCUGCAGCAGGAGGCACGCAAUCAGCAUUUCUGUCGGCCUCCAGUAUGGGUGGGAGAAGCUGCCUAAUUAAAAUCUGCAGCGUGCCUAGAAGCCUCCACAGCUGACAGAGUUGUUUCCCGUGCGUUCUCAGCGCCCGAUGAUACAUAUUCUUCAUGUUUAUGUGGUGCGAUACGCUGUGCUCUGUGAGCAUGAAGUAUUAGUGAGCCAAUUUCUCCAUCCACGCGGCUCCAGAGCAACCGGAAGGCAUCUCUGUUCUAAUUUAUGAGGGACCAGCAUGUGCAAUCAAUAGGUGCCCCACAGGUUAUUAAAGAAGAGAAAGAUGGCCCAGGCAGCCCUGUUUACUAACAGGGAAAUGGCCUCCUGGCAGCUUCUGGCACGUGGCCUGCGAGAGAUUUACAUUUCUUUUUCAGCGCAGAAACAGGAGCCUUCCCUUUUCAUCUCAGCCCUAAGCCUGAGAGCUGGGGGCUGGUGGAGGCACAGUCUGAAAGCAUCCUUUCCAGCAACCCCAGAGCGGAGGCCAGGGGUAGGGGUCUGUAGGUGGGGGUCAGCCCCAAGCUUGAAGAAGUCCCUUUACGAGUUGAGGUCCUGGAGAACACUAGCAUCCCAGGAAGGGGUCGGGGGACUGCUGAGACGUGGGGAGUCGGCGUGAGGGGAUGGGUCAGGCCACAUGGCAAAAAGAAAUCGGCAACUCCGGCCAGGCUGCCGGAGGGGAGGUGGUCCGUGGUCAGCCUUGCCCGGCUCUGGAGAAACUCCUCUGUUUGCUUCUUUUGCCUCCUCUCCUUGUCUUGGGUCCUGUGAUUUCAGCAGUCUGCAGUUCUUUUGCAGUUUUCUUAACAGUUCUGGAGGAAGAGGGCAGGUUGGGUUUAAAGACAGAGCAGUAAUGUUUUUGGCUUAUUUGGGUAAAGGGGAAAGAAGUGUCUCCUGCAGUCCACUUUCUGGAAGGCAGAAUGGUGUGAUGUAGGGGUUCUCAAACUUUUUAGGCUCAGGACCCCUUUACAUUCUCAAAAUUUGUGUAGGUUAUGUCUAUUAGAAAAUCUAAAAUAUUUAUUAAUUAAUUAAAAUAUAACAAUAAUAGAGGCUGGCCCCAUGGCCUAGUGGUUAAGUUCAGCACACUCUGCUUUGGCGGCCUGGGUUUGGUUCCUGGGUGUGGACCUACCCCACUCAGUGGCAACCGCGCUAAGGUGGCAGCCCACAUGCAAAAAAGUAGAGAAAAACUGGCACAGAUGUUAGCUCAAGGCGAUCUUCCUAAGCAAAAAAUAAAUAAAGGAAUGAAAACAGCAAUAAUAAACCCAUUACAUGUUAAAAUAAAUAACACAUUUUCAUUUUUAAAAAACCCCAUACCUUUCAAAACAAAAAAUGUUAGAAGAGUGACAUUAUUUUACAUUUUUGCAAAUGUUUUAAAGCAGGAUAUUUAUUUGUUUAUUUAUUUUUAUUGAGGUAACAUUGGUUUAUAACAUUGUAUCGAUUUUUGUAGAUUUUUUAAGUGUCUGGAUUAAUAGAAAGUGGCUGGAUUCUCAUAGUUGCUUCUGCAGCCAAUGUGCUCAAUAUAUUGUUUUGGUUGAAGUAUAUGAAGAAAAUCCAGCUUUACACAGAUAUGUAGCUGGGAAAAGAGUGUUUAAUAGCCUUUUUAGAUAAUUGUGGAUAUUCUUUUUGAUACUGUACCGAAACAUAACAAGUUUUUUAAAGGUUAAUUGCCGUAUGGAAUGUGAAAGCAUAUCAGUGAACUUUUUGUGUUCUGCUGCAUUAAAAUCCAUUGGUUUCUUGUGCCCUUUGACUGGGUCUUUUACCCAUAUACGAUUUUGUAAUACCGUGCAUGGGUCAUUGGAAAACACUGGUUUACUGAGUUAUGCAGAUAUUCCAAAUGUUGACACAUUUCACUAUACAAUGUCAAAACAAAAUCACAUUCGUGAAUAUCAUUGUCGUUCUCAUUAGAAAAGUCCUUACGUACUGGGAAACUCAACCUCCACAACAGCAGAGCCAAGUUUUCCGAAACUCUAGUUUCACUUGGAAACUCAAAUUUUAUCAUUGGCAGCAAAUACUAUCAGUUGUUUUCCUUGAAGUGACAAGCUCCCUUUGUUCAUUUUGAGAAAAUGUCUGCCAAAUACCCGGUCUAAAAAAGCAUUCUUUGUCAUUUGGUAUUUCAAGCAAAAAAAAAAGAAAAGUUUCAUGGAAAAAUGGCUGGUUCAGCUCAUGGCUCUAUGGCCUGAGUACUUUUCCUAGAACUAAGCAUCAUGCUUCAGAAGCCAGUCAAAGUACUGCAUAUUCCCCAAUUUGUUUUACAGACUGUUUUGAAAACUGUCAAUAUUUAAUAAGAUUACUCAUUUUUACUGCUUCAUCGGGACAUUCUUAAAUGAAACAGGCAUUCGUUUUUACUGCAAGUGUGGCAAUGGCGG